GGGGUAUAUUGGUCAAUGGACGCAAGUCUGAACCAGCCAUGCCGCGUGCAGGAUGAAGGCCCUCUGGGUUGUAAACUGCUUUUAUCUGGGACGAAAAAAGGGGAUUCUUCCUCACUUGACGGUACCAGAGGAAUAAGCACCGGCUAACUCCGUGCCAGCAGCCGCGGUAAUACGGAGGGUGCAAGCGUUAUCCGGAUUUACUGGGUUUAAAGGGUGCGUAGGUGGGUAAGUAAGUCAGUGGUGAAAUCUUCGAGCUUAACUCGGAAACUGCCAUUGAUACUAUUUAUCUUGAAUACUCUGGAGGUAAGCGGAAUAUGUCAUGUAGCGGUGAAAUGCAUAGAUAUGACAUAGAACACCAAUUGCGAAGGCAGCUGGCUACACAAAUAUUGACGCUGAUGCACGAAAGCGUGGGGAUCAAACAGGAUUAGAUACCCUGGUAGUCCACGCCCUAAACGAUGAUUACUCGACAUUUGCGAUAUACAGUAAGUGUCUGAGCGAAAGCAUUAAGUAAUCCACCUGGGAAGUACGACCGCAAGGUUGAAACUCAAAGGAAUUG
rnacentral:rRNA from 1 species